rnacentral:lncRNA from 1 species
GGUGUAGGGCUUAGUGUUUUUAGAAUUUUUUAGGUAUAAGGUUUUUAGGGGUUCUAAAAUGUUUUUUUUAGAGUAUAUAGGUUAGAGUUUUUAAUGGUUUUUAGGGAUUCUAAAACAGUUUAUUGCUUAAGUUUUUCUAUGAUUUUUUUCAGGUUAAAAGUUUUUUUCGAUUCAAGAUUUUUUAGGAUCAUUAUUGUUUUUUCGAUUUAGG